AAUGCAAUUCAGACAGAAAGCCACAGGAAGCAAGAAGGUGAAAUUCAGUGGAACCCAAUCAGAAUGUCCAAUGCUUUAGGAGUAAAGACUCCCGACUUAGAUGUUGGAGAUUUUCUUCUCUUCCUCAUGCAGAUGGGUUCAGGGUUCCUGAUUCUUCUUUAUUUUCCCUAUUCCACAUGGAGCUGGAUCCCAGCAGAGGGUUCCAAAUGAUAGCGGAAAUCUUCUGACCUCACACCUGCCUCCUGCCUCCCUGGGACCCACUGAAGGAUUUCUUGUCCUUACUGCUUUUGGCUCCUCUGCACAUCCCCUGGGGGAUCCUGUUGGUUGUGACUGGAGAAGAGCUGCCUUUGUCCUGCCAGAGGAGGUUGGCCUAGGCUGGUGUCAGUGUAUUACAAGGUCUCUGCCUGAGGAGCAUCUCCAUCUCCACCUCCACUGCUCCUGCCUGAUCCAGCCUUCACCACUCCCAGCCUCAUGUCUCUGUCAUGUCCUCCACCUGGUCUCCCUACUUUAUCCUUUUCCCCAAUCACAGUCAGUACUAUUUUAAAUUAAAAUGAAUUCUUUACCCUGAUGUGGUACCCUCUGCAUCUCACCCAUGAUGACCUUUAUCCCCUGACUCUAGAUUUUACUGUUUUCUGUCCACUCUGGCUUCUGGCUGGUCCUCAAAGACACCACAAUGAUGCCCAAUCAUAGCCAUCACCUGUUGUAUCCCCUCAAGCUGUAAUGCUUUACCCAGGUUCCCUGAUUCUCACAUUCCCCCUCCUCAUGGAGUCCUUCCCUUCACACUCCUACUGAGAAUCCCCAUUCCCAGAACCAUCCCUCCCUUCCCUUCCCUGCUUUCUUCACUCUUAUAAUCUCCUGGCAUCCUGGGUGUUCUGCAGAGUUCUCCUCUUUUGUCUCUGCUAACCACCCCCCCCCCCAAAUAUCAUUCCACAAGGGCAGAGACUUUAUUGUCUUCUUUGCUCCAUUCCCAGGCCCAAGGCCAGUUGUCCUUCUCUAUUUUGAGGAGAAAUCCUAUAAAUUUUCAAGAUGCUAUGUUAUUUUCUCAUGCAUGUCCUCUCAGCUCCCCAGAGUGCUGCUUUCUUUCCACCAUCAUAAUAAACCCCAGGCUGUUCUCAUUGUCUAUCAUGGGAAUGUUACUUGUGACUGAAACUACUUAUUCCAGGGACACUGGCUAUUUUCCUUCAUGAGAAACCCCUUGCUGACCCCUCAGCUUUUCUCUGAGGUGUGUAAAUUGGUGAGGGAGAGAGGCAUGAGGGAUAUGGUGGUUUCCCCAAAUUGUCCAAGAUGGAAAUAUUUAAAACUACUUUAAACUAAAUGUUAAACAGUUUUCAUAGUUUAAAUUGUAAUGAAAACUCAUUUUGCAGCACUCUUGCCCUG